GUCUUCAUUUAUUUCAUAGGAAAAAAAUUGUGAACUCAUUUAUGAAACAGUCAAAGGAGGGUUUUCGUUUUUUCCACCUACUACUGUGUAUAUGGUAUUUACACAGAAGUAAAAUAACAUUUACCAUCUCUGAUGUUGAGGGGUUUAAAUUAUCCAUAAAGAAGAGAAUACUAUUAGCAUCAAACGCAGGAACAU